AUUGAACGCUGGCGGCAGGCCUAACACAUGCAAGUCGAACGAGUGGCGGACGGGUGAGUAAUGUCUGGGCAACUGCCCGAUGGAGGGGGAUAACUACUGGAAACGGUAGCUAAUACCGCAUACCAUCGGAUGUGCCCAGGUUGGAUUAGCUAGUAGGUGGGGUAACGGCUCACCUAGGCGACGCUCCCUAGCUGGGCUGAGAGGAUGACAAGCCACACGGGAACUGAGACACGGUCCAGACUCCUACGGGAGGCAGCAGUGGGGAAGAUUGCACAAUGGGCGCAAGCCUGAUGCAGCCAUGCCGCGUGUAUGAAGAAGGCCUUCGGGUUGUAAAGUACUGUCAGCGAGGAGGCGUUACUCGCAGAAGAAGCAACGGCUAACUCCGUGCCAGCAGCCGCGGUAAUAC
rnacentral:rRNA from 1 species